rnacentral:piRNA from 1 species
UGGGAAAGUGUCUUCAGUUAU